rnacentral:rRNA from 1 species
UCCGUAGGCGGCAUGUUAGGUGAGGUGUGAAAUCCCCCGGCUCAACCGAGGAAUUGCGCUUCAAACCGGCGUGCUUGAGGAAGAUAGAGGUGGGCGGAACUGAUGGUGGAGCGGUGAAAUGCGUUGAUAUCAUCAGGAACACCGGAGGCGAAGGCGGCCCACUGGGUCUUUUCUGACGCUGAGGGACGAAAGCUAGGGGAGCGAACG